GACGAACGCUGGCGGCGUGCCUAAUACAUGCAAGUUGAGCGAUGAAGAUUGGUGCUUGCACCAAUUUGAAGAGCAGCGAACGGGUGAGUAACGCGUGGGGAAUCUGCCUUUGAGCGGGGGACAACAUUUGGAAACGAAUGCUAAUACCGCAUAACAACUUUAAACAUAAGUUUUAAGUUUGAAAGAUGCAAUUGCAUCACUCAAAGAUGAUCCCGCGUUGUAUUAGCUAGUCGGUGAGGUAAAGGCUCACCAAGGCGAUGAUACAUAGCCGACCUGAGAGGGUGAGCGGCAGCAUUGGGACUGGGACAAGGCCGAAACUCCUACGGGAGGCAGCAGUAGGGAAUCUUCGGCAAUGGAUGCAAGUCUGACCGCUCAACGCAGAGUGAGUGCAGAAGGUUAGCGGAUCGAAAAACUCUGUUGGUAGAGAAGAACGUUAGUGAGAGUGGAAAGCUCAUCAAGUGACGGUAACUACACAGAAAGGGACGGCUAACUACGUG
rnacentral:rRNA from 1 species